rnacentral:rRNA from 1 species
AUUUAAUAUUUUAUUAUUAUUAUUUUUUAAUUAAAAUAUUUUUUAUUUUUAUUAAUAAUAUUGAAAAAAUUUUUUUUAUUAUAGUUUAUAGUAUAGUGAUAGAACAAUUAAAUAUUUUGAAAAUUUAAAUUUUUAAAAGAAUAAUUAAUUUUUAGUACCUUGUGUAUCAGGGUUUAUUAAUUAAAUAUUAUAUAUUUUAAUUUUCUCGAUUUUAAAAGAGUUAAAAGUUUAUAUUUUUUAAUGUUAAAUAAUUAUUAAUAAUAAAUUUUUAGUAAUGAAACGUUAUUCGAUUUUAAAUAUAUCUAGUUUUUUAAGAAAUAAAUUUAAUUUAUUUAUUAAUAAAAAAUUAAUUUUAUUUAUAAAAUUAAUUUUAUUAAUAAAAAAUAUUUUAAGGGAUAAGCUUUAAAAUAAAUUUAUAUAAUUAUUUUAAUUUUAAAAUUAAAUUUAGGAUUAAAAAUUUCUAAUAUUAAUAGUUUGUUAUAAUUAAUUUUUUAUAAUAAUUAUUUAUAUUUAAUUUAUAUUUUUUAUUAAAAAUUUUUAUUUAAUUUUUAAUUAAAAGUUAUAAUGAUAAAAUUAGUAUAAUUUAUUUUUAAAAAUAAUUUAUUUUUAAAAGGUUAAAUUAAGGAAUUCGGCAAAAUAAUUUUUCGCCUGUUUAAUAAAAACAUGUCUUUUUGAUUAUAAUUUAAAGUCUAACCUGCCCAAUGAAAGUUUAAAUGGCCGCGGUAUUUUGACCGUGCAAAGGUAGCAUAAUCAUUAGUUUUUUAAUUGAAAGCUGGAAUGAAUGGUUGGACGAGAAAAUUACUGUCUCAAUUUAAUUUAAUUAGAAUUUUAUUUUUAAGUUAAAAAGCUUAAAUUUUUUUAAAAGACGAGAAGACCCUAUAGAGUUUUAUAUAUAAUUAUUUAUUUUUUUUUAUAAUUUUUAUUAAAUAGUAUUAUAUUUUAUUGGGGUGAUAAAUAAAUUUAAUUAACUUUAUUUAAUUUAUUACAUAUAUUUAUGAAUUAAUGAUCCAUUUUUUAUGAUUAAAAGAUUAAAUUACCUUAGGGAUAACAGCGUAAUUUUUUUUAAGAGUUCUUAUCGAAAAAAAAGAUUGCGACCUCGAUGUUGGAUUAAAAUUUAUUUUUGGUGUAGAAGCUAAAAUAUUGAGUCUGUUCGACUUUUAAAAUUUUACAUGAUCUGAGUUUAAACCGGUGUGAGCCAGGUUGGUUUCUAUCUUUAAAUAUAAUAAAAUAUUUUAGUACGAAAGGACCAGAUAUUUAUAAAAUUUAUUAUUUUUUGAAUAAUAUU